rnacentral:snRNA from 1 species
GUCCCUUCUCGGCCUUUUAGCUAAAAUCAAGUGUAGUAUCCGUUCUUGUCAAUUUUAUGCCACGCGUCUUCAAUACGAGGACAUGAUGUUAAAUGAGCGUUGGGAAGUGGGAGGUGGACUUGGAGCUUGCUCUAUGCCUUGACCUAGCAAUGCGGUGCCCCAGGGAAUAGGAU